rnacentral:rRNA from 1 species
GAUGAACGCUAGCGGCAGGCUUAAUACAUGCAAGUCGAGGGGCAGCACAGGUAGCAAUACUGGGUGGCGACCGGCAAACGGGUGCGGAACACGUACGCAACCUUCCUUCAAAUGGGGAAUAGCCCACCGAAAGGUGGAUUAAUACCCCGUAACAUAAUGAGAUGGCAUCAUCUUAUUAUUAUAGCUCCGGCGUUUGAAGAUGGGCGUGCGGCUGAUUAGGUAGUUGGCGGGGUAACGGCCCACCAAGCCAGCGAUCAGUAACUGGUGUGAGAGCACGACCAGUCACACGGGCACUGAGACACGGGCCCGACUCCUACGGGAGGCAGCAGUAAGGAAUAUUGGGCAAUGGACGCAAGUCUGACCCAGCCAUGCCGCGUGGAGGAUGAAGGCCCUCUGGGUUGUAAACUUC